GGACGGUUUGGGAGGAGGGAGGAGAUUGUGAGCACAGGGUUUGCAAUUCAGUUUGUGUUGGAGAUUGAAGCGAAUCUGAUUUCAAAAUGAGUUCACAAAGCAGGUCAAUAUUAAAUCCAGAAACAAAACCUGAGAAAAAAAUGUCUCGAUCACAAUGUCUGGAUGGAUGUGCAGCAAGAAGUGGAAGUUGUGAAUGAUGUUAUCGAUGACUGAGCAGGAAGCACUGGACUUGUGAUGGUUGAUUUCCUUUCUGCCGUUGCAUUCAGAGCAAACUGAAUCACCAGUGGAAACCACUGCUUGCCUUGCUCUAAUAAGAGAUUUGGAUGUGCAAUUACUGCAUGUCCGGUGAGCUCAACCAGUAAAGCAAAACUUUGCUGCUUUAAUGCGUGAAGCCCAGCUCUCCAUUUCUGUGGCAGUAACAUCACUCCGAAACUGAGCUUUUCUCCUGCAUGCUUUUGUUAAUAUCAAUAUUUCUGCUUUAUAGUGAAAACCCUCCUCUGUUUCACUGGAAGCACAAGACACACAUUUGUAGCUGAGGCCGAAUGUAUAAUGAAUGAUGAAACUUUAAAACAAGAAGUUCCAGUCAAGCCCCUAUAUCAACAAAACUGCUCCGAGUCACAGAAUUAGAAUGGCCACUUCCUGGGGGACCAACAGCAGCUGGUGAACAUUAAACCUGAUCCAGAGAGGAAUGAUCUGAUACAUCAGAUUGGGGACAGGAUUCGGGAGCUCCCCUUGAACAUUAUUCACAUCAAAAUGAGCGAGGAGGAAGGAUUGGAUACAAUGGGUUUGUAUUCUUUGGAACAGGGAAGGCUCAGGGGAAAUUUAAUUGUGAUGCAUUAAAAUUGUGCGGGACCUAGAUACUGUGGAUAGGGAGAACUUAUUUCCGUGAGCAAUGAGAUCAAUAACCAGGGGCUUAGAUUUAGGAAGAAAGAAAUCCUCACAUUUAUGUAGCACCUUCCACCAUCCCAAAACACUUUACAGUCAGUGAAGUUCUUGUUGUAAAGUAGGAAACUUUGCAAACUCUCACAAGCAGCAACAUAAUAAUGACCAAAUCAUCUGUUCUUGUGAUGUUGGUUGAGGAAUAAAUAUUGGCCUGGGCACAGAA